rnacentral:rRNA from 1 species
AAGCCUGAUCCAGCCAUGCCGCGUGAGUGAUGAAGGCCUUAGGGUUGUAAAGCUCUUUCACCGGGGAAGAUAAUGACGGUACCCGGAGAAGAAGCCCCGGCUAACUCCGUGCCAGCAGCCGCGGGCAAACGAAGGGGGCUAGCCUUGUUCGGAAUUACUGGGCGUAAAGCGCACCGAAGUUACUGGGCGUGUCGGGGGUGAAAUCCCUGGGCUCAACCCCGGAACUGCCUUCCAGGCUGGCAGUCUAGAGUUCCGGAGAGGUGAGUGGAAUUCCGAGUGUAGAGGUGAA